rnacentral:rRNA from 1 species
CACGGGGGGCCUACGGGAGGCAGCAGUGGGGAAUCUUGGACAAUGGGCGCAAGCCUGAUCCAGCAAUGCCGCGUGGGUGAAGACGGCCUGCGGGUUGUAAAGCCCUUUUCGUGGGGACGAAGGCCCUGAGGUGAACAGGCUCAGGGGGUGACGGUACCCGCGGAAGAAGCACCGGCCAACUCCGUGCCAGCAGCCGCGGUAAUA